GUUGGCACUAAAGCUAAAACAGCUGGCCAGAAUCUCUCUGCUUGUUUUUGUGUUCAUCUCUGCACUCCGUUACACAAGGCAGCUGGAGCAGCCAGUAGCUCAACAUCCGACCACUUGCUGAGAUCCAUCUUUCAUUUAUUUUAUCUUCUUGCCUGUGUCUACGUCUAAUGACGUGGUAGGCUGAAGAAAGAAAGUUGAGAAGGUCAGCCUAUUGUGUUGCCUCUCUAGAGCUGUGUAUUUGCCCUUCCUGAGUCUGUUUAUCCUUUGAAUCAUUUGACAUACUGCACAUUCUGCUCUGACCUUCAGCCUGUUGCUGACUUCAUCCCGUUGCCUAAAGGCCGUGAUUCUGCAAUACAUAAAACUAACUUUAGGGAAUCUCAUCCUGGAUUAAAAUCCCCAUGCCUGAAAUCUCUGGUCCAGUUUAACAUCAUGUUUUUGAAUGAAUGUAGCUCACAUCUCUUUGACAGUUUAACUGCUUUCUGGCAAGCAGUCCUCUUAACUUGUGCCCCUACCAGCAUCUGAUUAAACCUUGGCUGGUCACCACAUUGGAAAAUCUGACUGUGCAGACAGUCACACAGAGCCAUGGAGUCGAUCAUGGUUAGUUCCUCUCAGAGCUCAGCCAAGCUGUUACAUCCACGCCCUUUUAAAACAGUCCCCUAAGAGAAAUCCAAAUGAAUGUACAGUCUGGCUGUGGAGGUUGAAUGUUGUAGCCAAGGUUACGUUUAUUGGCAUGAUCCUUUGAGGAUUUUUUUUUUUUUUUUCUCUCUCAGGUGUUAUAUUCCGUGUCAGAGGUCUGAAGCAGAGAAAUGGAUGCUGCCUGAAGGGCAGAGAGAGCUUCUUCCCAAGCAGCUGGCAGGAGGAUGCUGUGGCUUUGCCAUCUGUUUCUUCACUGCCUGCUGGAAUUCUUCUCUCACUGGAUGUGCCAUCACCAUCUAAUCAAGACAUGGAAGUGGUUACUGUUAAAGGGGCUGUCAUGAAAACUCUUCUGCCUGAAGAGUUGUCAGAAGCUGUUGCAACGACUAUUCUUCAGCUGCUGGUUCUCAGUGUUUUUUCCACACCUUUGUUGUCUUGCUGAUCUAUGAACAAUUGUGUGUAACUGCUGAUGUUCAGGUGAACUGUUGUGCAACACUUAGGUAGACCAUGAAAGCAUAAGAUAAUCUCCUAUUUUUUUAAGCCUUAUAGCAGUUUACUACUACAGUUUAGAAUGACUUACCUGCCAGCAGGCCAUUUGGUGAUGCUGAAUAUGCCCUCCAUUUGCUCCUUCAUAAAAAUAAAGUAUGAACAUUCAUCUUUGGGCA
rnacentral:lncRNA from 1 species